CCCUUAGAUGUUCUGGGCCGCACACGCGCUACACUGAAGGAGGCAGCGUGUACUCCUGGAUCGAAAGAUUUGGGUAACCCGCGAAUCUCCUUCGUGCUAGGGAUUGAGGUUUGCAAUUAUCCUUCAUGAACGAGGAAUUCCCAGUAAGUGCAAGUCAUAAGCUUGCGCUGACUACGUCCCUGCCCUUUGUACACACCGCCCGUCGCUACUACCGAUUGAAUGGUCCGGUGAAGCCUCGGGAUUGUGGCUGGUUUCCUUUAUUGGAGGUCGGUCGCGAGAACUUGUCUAAACCUUAUCAUUUAGAGGAAGGUGAAGUCGUAACA
rnacentral:rRNA from 1 species